rnacentral:rRNA from 1 species
GACGAACGCUGGCGGCGUGCCUAACACAUGCAAGUCAAAGGAAAGCAACUUCGGUUGUAAGUACUUGGCGCAAGGGUGAGUAAUGUAUAGGUAAUCUGCCCUUAGGACUGGCAUAACCUCGAGAAAUCGAGGACAAUACCAGAUGAUGCAGCGGGACCGCAUGGUCAUGUUGUUAAAGAUUUAUCGCCUAAGGAUGAACCUAUAUCCCAUCAGGUAGUUGGCAGGAUAAUAGCCUACCAAGCCUACGACGGGUAGCUGGUCUGAGAGGAUGAUCAGCCCCAUUGGAACUGAGACACGGUCCAGACUCCUACGGGAGGCAGCAGUGAGGAAUAUUGCGCAAUGGGCGAAACCCUGACGCAGCAACGCCGCGUGGAUGAUGAAGUUCUUCGGAAUGUAAAGUCCUUUUGUAGAGGAAGAACAUGUCGGUUUACCGGCACUGACGGUACUCUGCGAAUAAGCCACGGCUAACUCUGU